GUGAAACAUUAUUUAUGCUUUACAAACUCCACGAUAAUUACAAAUGAAAUGGCAAAACAUUUCAAAAAUGAAUCUUAGUGAAUCUUAGCUUCUUGGUCGGCUACAAGAAGUCCUCUUGAAGUUUGACAUCAGUACAGUGCAGCACAUAUACUCAGUCAGAUCCCUACGAACGUGAUCAACUAAAGUCUUCUCAGUGGCGGCACCUUGUGGUUGUUUGUGCCUGUUGCAGGUUAAAAUUGUCCCUUUUCAAGCGUAAUUCUAGUCGGUUCAUCUUGUUUGCUGUGAAUGGCAGAAUGCGCUGGUCAGGAUGAGAAGAGCUGCUCAUUGACAGUGUUUACAAGGUUUGUGGGGAUAAAGGGACUAUAUGUUUACAGCUACAUAUCUGGUGACAAUGUUAUUUGCAUUUACAAUAGGAAGUAGGUCAAAGGUUAAAUGGGGUGACCCCAGUGGGCUGAAAUAUCAAUCGCUGUAGUCACUGUAGCAAAUUGAUAUGAGGGAUGACGCCUCCACUUUAAUAGAUGUUCAUAAUGUACAAAAUUAGUUCUGUGGUUUAGCAUUUGACUAAUUGGGAAUUAACUAUUUGUCCAUGUUAGGAUUAAAUGCAACAAUGAAACAAUCACACACAGUUUAGAGGAAAUAUUAAUUCUAAAUGAGAGCUAGUUCAAAUCAUAUAGAGUGAGGGGAGGUGUGAUAAAUAUAUACACUGAAAUACCCUCAAGAUGAGAUAAAUA